UACGGGGGGUGCGAGCGUUGUCCGGAAUCACUGGGCGUAAAGGGCGCGUAGGUGGUUUGAUAAGGGUGUGGUGAAAGCCCGGGGCUCAACCCCGGGUCUGCCGUGCCGACUGUCAAACUCGAGGGCUGUAGAGGCAGACGGAAUUCCGGGUGUAGCGGUGGAAUGCGUAGAGAUCCGGAGGAAGACCGGUGGCGAAGGCGGUCUGCUGGGCAGUUUCUGACACUGGAUGCGCGACAGCGUGGGGAGCAAACAGG
rnacentral:rRNA from 1 species